rnacentral:rRNA from 1 species
UACGUAGGGGGCUAGCGUUGUCCGGAUUUAUUGGGCGUAAAGAGCGUGUAGGCGGCCAGAUAGGUCCGUUGUGAAAACUGGAGGCUUAACCUCCAGCUGUCGAUGGAAACCAUUUGGCUAGAGUCCGGAAGAGGAGAGUGGAAUUCCCGGUGUAGCGGUGAAAUGCGCAGAUAUCGGGAAGAACACCCGUGGCGAAGGCGGCUCUCUGGGACGGUACUGACGCUCAUGCACGAAAGCGUGGGGAGCAAACAGG